GCUGGGUGCGGUGGUGCACGCCUGUAAUCCCAAUGGCUUGGGAGGCUGAGGCAGGAGGAUUGUGAGUUCAAAGCCAGCCUCAGCAACUAUGCAAGGCCCUCAGCAACUAGCGAGACCCUGUCUCAA
rnacentral:sRNA from 1 species